GACGGAGGGUGCGAGCGUUAUUCGGAAUCAUUGGGCGUAAAGAGUGUGUAGGCGGCCGGUUAAGUCAGGCGUGAAAGCCCAGGGCUCAACCCUGGAAGUGCGUUUGAAACUGGCUGGCUUGAGUUCGGGAGAGGGAAGCGGAAUUCCUGGUGUAGAGGUGAAAUUCGUAGAUAUCAGGAGGAACAUCGGUGGCGAAGGCGGCUUCCUGGACCGAAACUGACGCUGAGAAACGAAAGCGUGGGGAGCAAACAGG
rnacentral:rRNA from 1 species